AACGAAAAGAAACUUGUCAGAAACUAUAAAUCAUCUUUCCGGGCCAAUGAACCAGCAUUUUUCAAAGACCAAAACCAACCAAGUAUUUGUGAUAACUUACUGGAAGCAGAAUCCUUCUGUUUCUGUUCUAUUACGUUGCAAAGCAUGUUGUAGUCGUGUUUCAAAUGAGGAGCAGCUAUUUUAUCCUUGAAUAUUUCGAAUGGGCAAAAACUCGAACCAUGGCAACCUGGCAAUGCUAUGGGACGUUCAUUAUGUAGCACUUGCACAAAGUACUUGCUUGAGUUGUCCGAUUGGCAGCUAUAAAGGAUUAACAUGUUAUUUCCAGCAAAAGGAGCCACAUUACUUCCCCGCCAGUUUCUAUUCUUAGGAGGCUUAGGAGGGAGUUCCAAGCUUUCCUCUCUUUGUAUCCGUUCAAACUCAGAUUCUUCAAGAAAGAGCCCGAUUAGGCAUGAAAAGGGAAGGAGAGUUUCUGCAUGAGCAAAACGCAUUCUUGCUUUUUCAUAGAUCCCUGUAGCAUAUCCUUCUUCUUUAGCCUUAAUUGCCUGUUCCAUUGAUUGAACAACAUCCUCAAGAAGUGGCACUCCCAUUCGAUAAUUUAGUGUGUCACCAUAGCCUUUCAGUAUGAACAACUCCAAAUCAUCAGUCCACUCCAACAAAGAAACCUCAGAUGGACUGAACAGACUACAAGCUUGAUUGGUGAUGUUCAACAGUGAAGCUUCCUGCUUGCAUAAAAACCAU
rnacentral:misc_RNA from 1 species